UACGUAGGGUGCAAGCGUUAAUCGGAAUUACUGGGCGUAAAGCGUACGCAGGCGGCUAUGUAAGACAGGUGUGAAAGCCCCGGGCUCAACCUGGGAAUGGCAUUUGGGACUGCAAGGCUUGAGUGCGGCAGAGGAGACUGGAAUUCCUGGUGUAGCGGUGAAAUGCGCAGAUAUCAGGAGGAACACCGGUGGCGAAGGCGGGUCUCUGGGCCGUAACUGACGCUGAGGAGCGAAAGCAUGGGGAGCAAACGGG
rnacentral:rRNA from 1 species